UAAAAAUAUUUCCUGUCAGCAAAUUUCUAUAGAAAAGUGUUAUGGUAAAAAUGCAGAAGUAGUAAAAUAUCACUUGUAAUGGCUUUCAAAAGUGCACCAUGUUUGGAAGACCAGUGGUGGCAUUUUCCCAUUGAGGACAGAAGAUGUGAUCUGCUGACUCCUGGUGCUGCAUGUCUGGUGAUGACCAGACAUUGGACUAAGUAUAAGAGUUCUACAUGGAUAUACAAGAGACUGCAGAUGCUGGAAAUCUGGAGAAAUAAAAUGCUGGAGGAACUCAGUAGGUCCCAAAACAUCGACUAUCCAUUUCCUUCCAUGGAUGCUGCCUGACCAGCUGAGUUCCUUCAACAUUUUCUGUUGCUCCAGCUAGCCAUUCUUGCUUUGUUUCCUAUGUUGGUUGCAACUCUGCUCUACUCCAAGAUUUUGAACUGGCCUAGCUGACUUAAACAGAACAGUUGCCUGGGGACUGUUGAUUUUAUAAGACAUUUAUCAAAUUCUGCUUAAAGUCCUUCAAUGUGAAACUUUAACUCUGCUUCUCCCUCCAUGGAUGUUGACUGAUCUAAGUAUUUUCUACUUUUGUUAGCCUCCAGCUUCUGCAGUGUUUUGCUUUUGGAGUAUUCCUGUUGUAUUUGAACCUUUCAGUAUGCAAGUACCAAUAAAAUAAAAGCUUACUAACAUGGGACUUUCCAAAAUGUCUCAAAGUACUUUCCAGCUGAUGGGGUACUUUUGAAGUUGUAAUGUGGGAAUCAUGGCAGCUGAUCUUUAAAUGAAGUACUUCCACAAUGUGAUGUGGAUUUAAAAAUGAGUAAUCAAUCAGAACACUAAGGAAAGCACUAAUGCUUUUUCUUUCUAAUUCCAAAUGGUAUCUUUAAAGUUCCAUGCAGAUGUGAUCUUGGUGUGAAAUGCAUACAAAGGAUGACAUCUCUAACAAUGCACUGCCCUCUUAAUACUGCAGUGGGAUUUAGUAUUUGAGUUUUUAAACUUGAAGCCAUGAGGCUCCAUUGCAUAUUACUGCCCUCCAAGCCAUAGAUCACAGUAGAUUGAUAGGUAUGGGAACUGGAUCUAUCAAUAUUAUAAGCAGCAUUCCAAUUUAAAACUGCCAGCCUCAUUACUGAAAAUCCCCUAGAUAAGCAUGAUUGCACCUCAUCCCUGAUGGAUUAGGUGACCCACAGAGCAAUGGAAGUAGAAAUUACUCCAGUGUUACCCCAGAUAUUGCUGCACAGUGACUAGAAAUCUCAAAUAUUUAGAAUUCUGUAGUGCUACAUUAGACUGUAACUACCUUUUUGAUUUUAAAGAUUCUAUCUGUGUUUAUUUGUUAAAUACUAAUCUUUGUUUAAAUCUACAAUGGUUCUACAUAACUAAUACUUAAUAGGCAUGAAGCAGCACUUGAUGGAUGGGUUGCAAUCUGUACAGUAUAUUGCCAGCGAAGUUCACAUAAAUUGACCCCAAAAAAAAAUCAUCUGCAGAUCCACACUGUGGGCAGGCUGCAGCUAAUGAAUUGUCAAUUUAUGGAACAGUGGAUAAAUAGACCACUGCAGUGAGCACUCAGAGAAGGCAGAUGGGCUCUGUGGAAAAGUACAGUAAUCAGUUGGCUUGUAACCAGGUCUGUGGUACCAUCAGCUGCAGACAACUGGCUAUGCAAAAAAAAUUAAAGGAAUUCACUUUACAAGUAAAAUGGUAUUCA